UCUCGAAGAUGUUGCAUGCCAGUGAU
rnacentral:sRNA from 1 species